UAUUCCAUGCAAUGUGUUUCUUUCAACCAGUCCGAUUAUUUUCAAACCAGUGGAGAAUCAAUCAAGUUUUAAACAAAUUAUUAUCAUACCCGAAUAUUUCAGGUUACAGGGCAGGGGCGUCCUGAAAUGUUGGAGGCCAUCUACCCUCUCUCUUGCUGGGACAUCGCAUGAAGAAGUUGAGUUAGGCGUUUACUCUAAUAUUUCACUCACACUAGUUAGUGACAUAACAAGAGAUCAAUGACUAUCGACGAGCAAUCGCACUUGAAGAAAGAGGAAGAAAAUGGUACGAAUCCUAAGAUCAAUAGGUACUGGAUUCAACGUUACGAUCUGUUCUCGAGGUAUGACGAAGGUAUCCAAAUAGAUGAAGAAGGAUGGUACUCUGUGACUCAUGAAGAGAUCGCCAUCAACCACGCAGAGAGGUGCCAUGGAAAAGUGGUGAUUGAUUGCUUCGCAGGCGUUGGUGGUAACACUAUUCAAUUUGCUAAAGUUUCUUCUUCUGUAAUCGCUAUCGACAUUGAUCCAAUGAAAGUUCAAAUGGCUAUGAACAAUGCAAACGUCUAUGGAGUUGCUAAUCAUGUGGAUUUUGUCGUUGGUGAUUUCUUCAGUUUAGCUCCAUCUCUCAAAGGAGAUGUAUCGUUUCUUUCUCCACCAUGGGGAGGACCAAAUUAUUGCAAAGUCGAGAGUUUCAAGAUGGAUAUGCUUCAGCCAAGAGACGGGUACUCAUUGUUUAAGAUUGUUCAGUCCAUUACUCCUAAUAUCAUCAUGUAUCUACCGAAAAAUGUUGAUUUAGCACAGUUGGAAGAACUGGCUUCCCUCUCGUCACCUCCCCUAACUCUUGAGAUAGAAGAAAGUUGUAUUGGAGGCAAAAUGAUAGCCAUAACGGCUUAUUUUAGUCGCAAUGCGGCUUAGCUGAGAAAUUUGAACUUGCAUCAAAAAGGAACUAUCUUUUCUGCAGCAGGGGACAGAGGAAUUGACUCCUGAAGGAGUUAAUACAAUUUCUUGAAGAGAAUUUUUGAAAUAAAUAGUUAUGAUUAUUGUUCCAAGGAUACAGAAUUCUCAUUUCAUCUUUCCACUUUAUGCAGGAUUCUAUCACAUGGAUAUUUGAUACAAAUUCAAUGCAUCAUUCGUAGAAAAUAAAGAAUUCACUCUCCUUUCCCGUUAGUUUAUUCGGUUAGACUCCGUUGAUAUCGACUGUAAAAAAGUCGAGCACUGAUGAGUGAUGACAAAAUUUAUGGUACAAACAAACAAACCCAUUUGAAAAGUUCAAAAGCCCUACCCGCUCCCUUGCAGACAACCUAAUCUCAAUCUUGUUUUCACUGGUAUCCGACCGCUGUGUCGGUGCCGGUGUGACCUCUUUCUCUUUACUUUUGUGUAUUGCUUUGGUUUUUCUCUGGAGACUCUUCUCCAUCUCAUGUCUACAUGUUUGCUUGCUCUGUUGUCUCGGUGACGACGUCUCUGUUCGACUGUUCGGAAUGGAGGCGUUCGAAGGGCAGGUAGUGGAGUAACGACAAGACAUGUGUGAAGGCGUUGGCAGCUCCAGAUCUUUGUCUUUUUUUGCUCACUGGAUUUGGAGUGUGUAGAUCCAUCCGGCUUUCGUUCUCAUUGGUUGGUUUGGAUCAAUAACCAGUACUUGCUUCAAGGGCCUUGUUGAUUUGUUUACUAUCGAAUCACCUCUCGAUCGUGGGUUUGGCGAGUAAGAGAAGCUUUGUUCUUCGGUUCUCGUUGACGAAUCGCGUAUUAAUCACCGGCUCUGUUGGACCAUCCCAGCAUCAUCGUUUGGGCUGUGGCCUUCUCGUUGAUGGGUCAAAAUCUUUUGCUUCUCUUUCGCAGGCGACGUGUCAAAACGAGCUUUCAUUCAUUCCUCCCAAAUCCCUCUCCACUCCUCCAAGAUGGGUCCUAAAAAAAAGCCAGCAGCACCUACUUACUCUCAGAUGUUUCAUGAUGGUGUCAGGACAUCUUCUUCCGGUCCGUCAUCUUCUGAGGCAGUUCCGGACUCUCAGUCAUCCCAGAGAGUUUCUCGGAGUCAUCCUCCUCCUGCAUCUCAUAUGCCUCCACUUCCUCCUUCUCCAGCCGCUGCACCUCAGCCUGUCCCAGCAGGUGUGCCUCCAUCUGCCCCAUACGCGGGAUAUACAGUGGAGUAUUUUCUCACCCAGCCUGGACGAGAGGGCUUGGAUUUUCUUGAUCCCAACAGACCGCGGGAAACUUAUUAUUUUUAGUACAUUAAAAUUUUACUUAAUUUUUUUAACAAUUAAGUUCUCUUUUCAGUUUUGGGGCCAACAACCGUGUUGACCGGAGCGUGUCAAAGACGAUAAAGGGCUACUACGACGGAGCCUACCCGAAUUGGAGCAAGAAUCCAGACCACGUUAAGACGACUUGGUUUAAAUGAUUUGCGGGAAUUUAUUUAUUUUUUUUAAAUCUAAUUAAAUAUUUAUAUCAAAUUAAAUAUUUAUUUUAUUUUUUUUCAAAAUUUUGUUUGUUUCAGCAAAGGUGGCACUGGUCCUUGGGAAUCAACAAGAGGGUGAAGAGGGAAUUCGUUGCAAAGGCAAAGACCUGCCUUUGCAACACUGUCUCCGAUUGGAAGGACAAGUGGGAGAUCUACGGUUAUGACCGUAAGCCCACCGAGCUCACGAAAGAAGUAUGGGAUGAUCUCAUCGCCUUUUGGAAGCUACCCUCUUCGAUCCGUAAGGCCAACUCGUGCUCCGCUUCCCGAAGAACGAAGGACAAAGAUGGUUAUUUGCCCAUGGUUCACAGAACCGGACAAAAGCCUCAGCCGGAAUCCGUCUAGAAGCUGGAAAUUGUUUCUAAUAUUUAUUUUAAUUUUUUUAAUUAAUUUAAAUUUUAAUAUUUUAUUUUAUUUAUUUUUUUGUAGUAUGAGAAGACGGGAGUCUUACCAUCUCUGUCUGAUCUAUUAAAGAUGACUCACGCGACAUCAGACAUGAUUUUUGUGGAUCCGACAUCCGAGAAACUCUUCAACGCAGUGGCUUCUCGGGUUGAAGAGCGGGAGACACAAUUAAUCCAGCAGUCUCCUGGUGGAUUACCCGUCAAACUGACCACCGAAAAGGUCGACAUGAUUUUCGAAGAGGUAAAACUUUAUAAAUUUAUUUAGAUAAAUUUAACUAUUUAUUAAAAUUUAACUAUAUUCAUAUGUUUUUAUAGGUGGCUCAUAAAAAGAAAGAACAGACAGUGGGUAUAGGUUCUGUUAACGAAGUUGCUAAGGCAACUUUGUCAUAUGCUUCGAGACGGGACGAAGAGAACUCUCAGAUGAGAGCUCGGAUGGAUAGCCAUCAGGAUCGUUUAGACUCUCUUGAAGAUCUGUUGGACGUGAUGGCGGUGGGAAACCCGACUAUGAAGAUAGCACUAAAUGAGAGACGAGCAGCUCUCGGGAUGCCAAUACGGAAUCCCGAAGAUGCUGAUCCAGACCGUUCUCAACCGAGCACCGACACCGACUACUUCGAUAAUAUGUAGUAGUUUUUUUUUCCGUUUUGUACUAUGAAUUUAAAUAUUAUGUUAUGACUUUUAAAUAGUUUUUAAUAAUA